UCCGGUUGAUCCUGCCGGACCUGACUGCUAUCCGAUUGGUACUAAGCCAUGCGAGUCAUUGUAGCAAUACAAGGCGGACGGCUCAGUAACACGUAGUCAACCUAACUCGUGGACGUGGAUAACCUCGGGAAACUGAGAAUAAACCACGAUAGAUCAUAGUGCCUGGAAUGGCUUAUGGUCCAAACAGUUUACUGCCAUGGGAUGGGACUGCGGCCUAUCAGCUUGUUGGUGAGGUAAUGGCCCACCAAGGCGAUUACAGGUACGGGCUCUGAGAGGAGAAGCCCGGAGAUGGGUACUGAGACACGGACCCAGGCCCUAUGGGGCGCAGCAGGCGAGAAACCUUAGCAAUGUGCGAAAGCACGACUGGGUCAGUCCGAGUGAUUCCUGAUAAAGGAGUCUUUUGCCUGUCCUAAAAGCACAGGUGAAUAAGGGGUGGGCAAGUCUGGUGUCAGCCGCCGCGGUAAUACCAGCACCUCGAGUGGUCAGGACGUUUAUUGGGCCUAAAGCAUCCGUAGCCGGCUCUGCAAGUCUUCGGUUAAAUCCACCUGCUCAACAGAUGGGCCGCUGGAGAUACUACAGAGCUAGGGAGUGGGAGAGGCAGACGGUAUUCAGUGGGUAGGGGUAAAAUCCUCUGAUCCAUUGAGGACCACCAGUGGCGAAGGCGGUCUGCCAGAACACGUUCGACGGUGAGGGAUGAAAGCUGGGGGAGCAAACCGGAUUAGAUACCCGGGUAGUCCCAGCUGUAAACGAUGCAAACUCGGUGAUGCAUUGGCUUAUGGCCAAUGCAGUGCCGCAGGGAAGCCGUUAAGUUUGCCGCCUGGGAAGUACGGACGCAAGUCUGAAACUUAAAGGAAUUGGCGGGGGAGCACCACAAGGGGUGAAGCCUGCGGUUCAAUUGGAUUCAACGCCGG
rnacentral:rRNA from 1 species